GAUGAACGCUAGCGGCAGGCCUAAUACAUGCAAGUCGAACGAGCUUACGAGGCUUUCUUCUUUUGAACGUGGCGCACGGGUGCGUAACUCGUAUGCAACCUACCUUCAUCAGGGGGUUAGCCCGCAGAAAUUCGGAUUAAGACCGCCUAAAAACACAGGUUAGCAUUAUCCAAUGUUCAAAUAUUUCUAGGUUUAAGAUAGUCAUGCGUGUCAUUAGCUAGUUGGCGGUGUAACGGCCAACCAAGGCGACGAUGACUAGGGGAUCUGAGAGGAUGACCCCCCACACUGGUACCGCGACACGGACCAGAAUCCUACGCGACGGAGCAGUAAGGAAUAUUGGGCAAUGGAGGGAAAUCUGACACAGCCACGCGACGUGCAGGAAGACAGCCAUCGGGGUAGUAAGCUGCUUUGAUUCGGGAAUAAUCCUUUUAACGUGUAGCAAGCUGAAUGUACCGAAUGAAUAAGGAUCGGCUAACUCCGUG
rnacentral:rRNA from 1 species